rnacentral:rRNA from 1 species
UACGGGGGGGGCAAGCGUUGUUCGGAAUUACUGGGCGUAAAGGGCUUGUAGGCGGCCAACUAAGUCAGACGUGAAAUCCCUCGGCUUAACCGGGGAACUGCGUCUGAUACUGGAUGGCUUGAGUUCGGGAGAGGGAUGCGGAAUUCCAGGUGUAGCGGUGAAAUGCGUAGAUAUCUGGAGGAACACCGGUGGCGAAGGCGGCAUCCUGGACCGACACUGACGCUGAGGCACGAAAGCGUGGGGAGCAAACAGG